rfam:Camelus ferus unplaced genomic scaffold scaffold1907, whole genome shotgun sequence.
AAGGGUACAGCUCAAGUGGUAGAGCACAUGCAUAGCAGGCAUGAGGGCCUGGGUUCAAUCCCCGGUGCCUCCA